rnacentral:rRNA from 1 species
AACGAACGCUGGCGGCAUGCCUAACACAUGCAAGUCGAACGAGACCUUCGGGUCUAGUGGCGCACGGGUGCGUAACGCGGGGGAACCUGCCCUUAGGUUCGGAAUAACUCCCCGAAAGGGGUGCUAAUACCGGAUAAUGUCUUCGGACCAAAGAUUUAUCGGCUUUGGAUGGGCCCGCGUUGGAUUAGCUAGUUGGUAGGGUAAAAGCCUACCAAGGCGACGAUCCAUAGCUGGUCUGAGAGGAUGAUCAGCAACACUGGGACUGAGACACGGCCCAGAAUCCUACGGGAGGCAGCAGUGGGGAAUAUUGGACAAUGGGCGAAAGCCUGAUGCAGCAAUGCCGGGUGAGUGAUGAAGGCCUUAGGGUUGUAAAGCUCUUUUACCCGGGAUGAUAAUGACAGUACCGGGAGAAUAAGCUCCGGCUAACUCCGUG